GAUGUCAUCUUGCUUACUGGUUUGAACAGGGUAAUGAACGUUUAUCUGUACCAGCAUUUGGUGAGUGGGAUGGAAAGGUGGGUCUACCAGAUUACUCAAUUGAUUUUUCUAGGAUUCGAGAACAUCGGAGGCAGAACAAGAGCCGGGUGAGCCUUGGGAAUGAGGACGAGCUCCUAAACCGUACUAGCAUAAAUGGUGACCAGAGUGUUGAGUCCCUUAAAAAGAAUCUCCCACUUCAUCAGCAGCAUGGUAACUCCACUGUGACAAGGAAGAAAAGCACAAGAUAUUUCAAUUGUUGUCGAUGUUUGGGGGCCUGAAAUUCUGGUUUGUUCUCCACAUGCUGCUACAAGUGGAGCGAAUGUUAUGGUGGUAGCAAAGCAGAGAAAGGGAUCUAUCGACAUUCUUGAUCUCAAACUACUUGGAUUAGAAUUAGCUUUUCUUUUACAAAGAAAUGCAGGAAUGAAGAUGUUUCUUGGCGUUGAUCUUUCUGAUGUAAUGUUUGGAUUGCCUGUUAGUCUAUUCAUCACAUAUUUUUAGUAGUAUUGAUCGCAUUGUUGUAGAUAUAUUUAUAUUUUAUGUACAUGGAUUUUUCAGUUCAGUAAUUUAUGAUUCCCAGUAAUAGGGUUUAGGGAGUAAUAUGACACGCAUAGUAGAAAAUAUUAUUGUUUAAUAAUUA